rnacentral:tRNA from 1 species
GCCAGUGUAGUUCAGCGGUAGAACACUGCUCUCAUAAGGCAGAUGUCGUGGGUUCAACUCCCAUCACUGGCA